rnacentral:rRNA from 1 species
ACCUGGCUCACGCCGGUUUAAACUCAGAUCAUGUAAAAUUUCAAGGGUCGAACAGACCCAAUACACUAGCUACUGCACCAGUAAUAAAUUUUAAUCCAACAUCGAGGUCGCAAACUUUUUUUCCGAUAAGAACUCUUUAAAAAAUUACGCUGUUAUCCCUAAGGUAAUUUAAUCUUAUAAUCUAAACUUCAGGAUCAUUCACUCGCACAUAAACGUCUCUCGCUAAGAAAAGUUUUUUCAAUUUUCCCAUCACCCCAACAAAAUAUUUACAAUUAGCAAAAAAAUAUAAAAACCCAAAAUCUUCCUGCUAUAACAAAUAUAAAACUCUAUAGGGUCUUCUCGUCUUCCAUACCAAUCUAAGCUUUUUCACUUAAAAAUAAAAUUCUAAUCAAUUUUUCUAGAGACAGAAACCUUCUCAUCAAACCUUUCAUUCCAGCUUUCAAUUAAAAAACUAAUGAUUAUGCUACCUUUGCACGGUCAAUAUACCGCGGCCAUUUAAAAACUCAUUGGGCAGGUCAGACUUAAAAUUAUAAUCAAUAAGCC